rnacentral:rRNA from 1 species
AUUGAACGCUGGCGGCAGGCCUAACACAUGCAAGUCGAGCGGAUGAAGGGAGCUUGCUCCUGGAUUCAGCGGCGGACGGGUGAGUAAUGCCUAGGAAUCUGCCUGGUAGUGGGGGAUAACGUCCGGAAACGGGCGCUAAUACCGCAUACGUCCUGAGGGAGAAAGUGGGGGAUCUUCGGACCUCACGCUAUCAGAUGAGCCUAGGUCGGAUUAGCUAGUUGGUGGGGUAAAGGCCUACCAAGGCGACGAUCCGUAACUGGUCUGAGAGGAUGAUCAGUCACACUGGAACUGAGGCACGGUCCAGACUCCUACGGGAGGCAGCAGUGGGGAAUAUUGGACAAUGGGCGAAAGCCUGAUCCAGCCAUGCCGCGUGUGUGAAGAAGGUCUUCGGAUUGUAAAGCACUUUAAGUUGGGAGGAAGGGCAGUAAGUUAAUACCUUGCUGUUUUGACGUUACAAACAGAAUAAGAACCGGCUAACUUCGUG